UACGGAGGGUGCAAGCGUUAAUCGGAAUUACUGGGCGUAAAGCGUGCGCAGGCGGUUUGUUAAGUCUGCUGUGAAAUCCCCGAGCUCAACUUGGGAAUUGCAGUGGAUACUGGCAGGCUGGAGUAUGGUAGAGGAAGGUGGAAUUCCCGGUGUAGCAGUGAAAUGCGUAGAGAUCGGGAGGAACACCAGUGGCGAAGGCGGCCUCGUGGACCAAUACUGACGCUCAUGCACGAAAGCGUGGGGAGCAAACAGG
rnacentral:rRNA from 1 species